CGUCAGCUCGUGUCGUGAGAUGUUGGGUUAAGUCCCGCAACGAGCGCAACCCCUAUUGUUAGUUGCUACGCAAGAGCACUCUAGCGAGACUGCGUUGACAAAACGGAGGAAGGUGGGGACGACGUCAAAUCAUCAUGCCCCUUAUAUCCUGGGCUACACACGUAAUACAAUGGCGGUCAACAGAGGGAAGCAAAGCCGCGAGGCAGAGCAAACCCCCAAAAGCCGUCCCAGUUCGGAUUGUAGGCUGCAACUCGCCUGCA
rnacentral:rRNA from 1 species